UACGUAGGGGGCAAGCGUUGUCCGGAAUCAUUGGGCGUAAAGAGCGUGUAGGCGGCUCGGUAAGUCCGCUGUGAAAGUCCAGGGCUCAACCCUGGAAAGCCGGUGGAAACUGUCGAGCUCGAGUCCGGAAGAGGCGAGUGGAAUUCCUGGUGUAGCGGUGAAAUGCGCAGAUAUCAGGAGGAACACCAAUGGCGAAGGCAGCUCGCUGGGACGGUACUGACGCUGAGACGCGAAAGCGUGGGGAGCAAACAGG
rnacentral:rRNA from 1 species